AUCGCUAGCGCGGGAGAGACUGUCACGGAAGCAUGGUGACGGCGCCGACGGAGCAACCGCCCCGGAAACUCUCAGGCCAAAGGACCGCGUAGCAGGA
rnacentral:ncRNA from 1 species